GACGAACCGUGCGAACGUUGUUCGGAUUCACUGGGCUUAAAGGGCGCGUAGGCGGUCGACCAAGUCUGGGGUGAAAUCUUUCGGCUCAACCGGAAAAGUGCCCCCGAUACUGGCCGGCUAGAGGGAGAUAGGGGCAUGCGGAACUUCCGGUGGGAGCGGGUAGAAAUGCGUAGAUAUCGGAAGGAACGCCGGUGGCGAAAGCGGCGUGCUGGAUCUCUUCUGACGCUGAGGCGCGAAAGCCAGGGGAGCAAAGCGGG
rnacentral:rRNA from 1 species